rnacentral:tRNA from 1 species
GGACGAUUAGCUCAGCUGGUUAGAGCGCUGCAUUCACAUUGCAGAGGCCGGGGGUUCGAGUCCCUCAUCGUCCA